UACGUAGGGUGCAAGCGUUAAUCGGAAUUACUGGGCGUAAAGAGCUCGUAGGCGGUUUGUCGCGUCUGCCGUGAAAGUCCGGGGCUCAACUCCGGAUCUGCGGUGGGUACGGGCAGACUAGAGUGAUGUAGGGGAGACUGGAAUUCCUGGUGUAGCGGUGAAAUGCGCAGAUAUCAGGAGGAACACCGAUGGCGAAGGCAGGUCUCUGGGCAUUAACUGACGCUGAGGAGCGAAAGCAUGGGGAGCGAACAGG
rnacentral:rRNA from 1 species